AGAGGGUAGAAACCACUGAGAAGAAUCAGUUUGGGGCUAACACUGAUGUUAACCCUAAAGAGGAGUGUAAAGUUGUUGUUAUUAGGAGCAAAAGGAAAGUGGACAAGGAAGUUGUGGAAAUCGGGAGUAAUGAAGAUGAAGAAGAGGAAAAAGAAAUUAUUGAGUUAGACAGUAGUGAAGGUGAGGAAGAAGAGAAAGUAAGAGACAGUCACAA
rnacentral:lncRNA from 1 species